rnacentral:rRNA from 1 species
GACAGAGGGUGCAAACGUUGUUCGGAAUUACUGGGCGUAAAGCGCGUGUAGGCUGCCUCGAAAGUCAGGUGUGAAAUCCCAGGGCUCAACCCUGGAACUGCCUUUGAUACUGACGAUCUGGAGAUCGGGAGAGGUUGGUGGAAUUCCGAGUGUAGAGGUGAAAUUCGUAGAUAUUCGGAGGAACACCAGAAGCGAAGGCGGCCAACUGGCCCGAUACUGACGCUGAGGCGCGAAAGCGUGGGGAGCAAACAGG